GUAUUACUCCCUCCAUCUCAAAAUUCUUGUCUUAAAUUUGUCUAGAUAUGAAUGUAUCUAGUCACGUUUUAGUAUUUAGAUACAUAUAUUUUUUUUUUAAAUAAGACAAAAAAUUUGGGACAGAGGGAGUAUGUC
rnacentral:pre_miRNA from 1 species